CCUAAGGUAGCGAAAUUCCUUGUCGGGUAAGUUCCGACCUGCACGAAUGGCGUAAUGAUGGCCAGGCUGUCUCCACCCGAGACUCAGUGAAAUUGAACUCGCUGUGAAGAUGCAGUGUACCCGCGGCAAGACGGAAAGACCCCGUGAACCUUUACUAUAGCUUGACACUGAACAUUGAGCCUUGAUGUGUAGGAUAGGUGGGAGGCUUUGAAGUGUGGACGCCAGUCUGCAUGGAGCCGACCUUGAAAUACCACCCUUUAAUGUUUGAUGUUCUAACGUUGACCCGUGAUCCGGGUUGCGGACAGUGUCUGGUGGGUAGUUUGACUGGGGCGGUCUCCUCCUAAAGAGUAACGGAGGAGCACGAAGGUUGGCUAAUCCUGGUCGGACAUCAGGAGGUUAGUGCAAUGGCAUAAGCCAGCUUGACUGCGAGCGUGACGGCGCGAGCAGGUGCGAAAGCAGGUCAUAGUGAUCCGGUGGUUCUGAAUGGAAGGGCCAUCGCUCAACGGAUAAAAGGUACUCCGGGGAUAACAGGCUGAUACCGCCCAAGAGUUCAUAUCGACGGCGGUGUUUGGCACCUCGAUGUCGGCUCAUCACAUCCUGGGGCUGAAGUAGGUCCCAAGGGUAUGGCUGUUCGCCAUUUAAAGUGGUACGCGAGCUGGGUUUAGAACGUCGUGAGACAGUUCGGUCCCUAUCUGCCGUGGGCGCUGGAGAACUGAGGGGGGCUGCUCCUAGUACGAGAGGACCGGAGUGGACGCAUCACUGGUGUUCGGGUUGUCAUGCCAAUGGCACUGCCCGGUAGCUAAAUGCGGAAGAGAUAAGUGCUGAAAGCAUCUAAGCACGAAACUUGCCCCGAGAUGAGUUCUCCCUGACUCCUUGAGAGUCCUGAAGGAACGUUGAAGACGACGACGUUGAUAGGCCGGGUGUGUAAGCGCAGCGAUGCGUUGAGCUAACCGGUACUAAUGAACCGUGAGGCUUAACCUU
rnacentral:rRNA from 2 species